CAGCUAUCAUAGGUCAUGGGUACCAGCAUCCCCAGUUCUCAUCAGGAAGCAGUACCCCAGGGCACAUGUCCCACAGACUGCUGAAAGAGAUCUUGCUCAGAGGCUUCACAAGAAGAUGAAGGGACCCAGGAGGAGAUUGUGGGUCCAUGGGAACUGUCAGGCCCCAGAGAACCUCCUAGCCCAUGCUGGAAGAGAAGGCCAUUCCAUCUGGGAAUCACAUGGCACUGGGUGGAGAGAGAACCGACUGGGCCUGACGCCUUGCAGAACCAGCAUCCAGCCUGUGUCCAAAGUGCUCCUGGAACCACAGAAUGUUUCAUGCCUCCAACCCUGCCCCCUCUGUCUGUCUGUCUGUUUGUCCAUCUGUCCAUCUGUCUCUCUCUCUCUCUCUCUCUCUCUCUCUCUCUCUCUCUCUGUGUGUGUGUGUGUGUGUGUGUUACAUACAUGUAUAACAUUCAACACUCACACUCAUGCUCUGGCCCAUGACUUUAUCCAUGUGCUCAGCAUCCUCCCAUCCAGAAAUCUCCAAGGCUCCCAACUGCACAGGCGACCAGCCUGAGUUCUCUGCCGGUCACUCCCAGGCUCCACCCAGCCCUUCCCCAGCCCCUUCACACAGCCCAGCUCAGCCAGGCAGGUCUCCCCUAGGGCACUAUUUUCGAGCACACUUUCUCUGCAGAUGUUCAGUCAUUUGCACCUGGGGCUGCUCUGCAUUUGUGCAUCAGCCUCAGUAGGGGUGUCUGAAUUGGGUGAGAGGGUGUGUCGGAGAAGAAUCCUGACUUGCAUUGGUUUGAGCAGAUAACGAAUAAAAAGUGUUCUCGCCGUGGAAAAAUCCAGACGGGUGUUGGCCCAGGCACAGCUCUAGGUCAAAAUUUUAAGAACCCCCACUCAUCUCUCUUGGCUGCCUUCACCUUCCUUAACCUCUGGACUAGCACCCAUCAAGAACCCCUCUAGGAGCCGGGUGGUGGUGGCACAUGCCUUUGAUCCCAGCACUUGGGAGGCAGAGGCAGGUGGAUUUCUGAGUUCGAGGCCAGCCUGGUCUACAGAGUGAGUUCUAGGACAGCCAGGGCUACACACAGAGAAACC
rnacentral:lncRNA from 1 species